GACGAACGCUGGCGGCGUGCCUAACACAUGCAAGUCGAGCGGGGUUGAAGCGAGAGGUAACUCGAGCUUCUACCUAGCGGCGGACGGGUGAGUAACGCGUGGGCAACCUGCCUCAAGGUUUGGGAUAACAGCCCGAAAGGGCUGCUAAUACCGGAUAUGCCUAUGGCCUCGCAUGGGGCUAUGAGCAAAGGGGAAACCCGCCUUGAGAUGGGCCCGCGUCCCAUCAGCUAGUUGGUGAGGUAACAGCUCACCAAGGCGACGACGGGUAGCCGGCCUGAGAGGGUGACCGGCCACACUGGGACUGAGACACGGCCCAGACUCCUACGGGGGGCAGCAGUGGGGGAUCUUGCACAAUGGGCGAAAGCCUGAUGCAGCGACGCCGCGUGAGCGAAGAAGGCCUUCGGUUGUAAAGCUCUGUCUGAGGGACGAACGAAAACUAGACGGUACCUCCGGAGGAAGCCACGGCUAACUACGUGCCAGCAGCCGCCGGUAUACGUAGCGU
rnacentral:rRNA from 1 species